AUUGAACGCUGGCGGCAGGCCUAACACAUGCAAGUCGAGCGGAUGAAGGGAGCUUGCUCCUGGAUUCAGCGGCGGACGGGUGAGUAAUGCCUAGGAAUCUGCCUGGUAGUGGGGGAUAACGUCCGGAAACGGGCGCUAAUACCGCAUCCGUCCUGAGGGAGAAAGUGGGGGAUCUUCGGACCUCACGCUAUCAGAUGAGCCUAGGUCGGAUUAGCUAGUUGGUGGGGUAAAGGCCUACCAAGGCGACGAUCCGUAACUGGUCUGAGAGGAUGAUCAGUCACACUGGAACUGAGACACGGUCCAGACUCCUACGGGAGGCAGCAGUGGGGAAUAUUGGACAAUGGGCGAAAGCCUGAUCCAGCCAUGCCGCGUGUGUGAAGAAGGUCUUCGGAUUGUAAAGCACUUUAAGUUGGAAGGAAGGGCAGUAAGUUAAUACCUGGCUGUUUUGACGUUACCAACAGAAUAAGCACCGGCUAACUUCGUG
rnacentral:rRNA from 1 species